UGCACUCUAGAACUCUAUAUAUUUCUGAUGAAUUGUUAACUUGCCAAGGCUUCUGGGUGACAGAAUGAAUUUUCUCAGGAAUAGUUAAUCACGUUUUGGUCGUUCAACUGGUGAUAGAUGUUGCCAAGUUCCUGAGCCACAGAGAACGUACAUAAGUGGUUGGAUUGGUCAAUACCUAUUAAUACAAAAAAUAGAUGUUCCACCGUCUCUUCAAUUUGCAAACCAGAAAGGAUGCAAUCAUGGUUAUCACCGAUAUUGUAGUGCCAGUGCCUGCAUUUUGAGCAUGUUCCUUGUGUUUAAUGGAUCAGAUAGAAAAAAUGGGACCAGCCUUUUACUUUAUUAAACAUGUUAUGACCUUAACACCAUGCAUCCGCCUUGAAACACAUUAGCAUUGACCAUGAAUUAGUUUCACUAAGAUAAAAGCCUGAUUCUUAGGGAUUUAUUUUUUCCGGAGUGAGUCUCCGGGUUCACCGUCGCGUCCGUUUUACAGAAAGGCCCCUAUGGUUUUUAGGAAUUAAACCCGCCAUCCCUAUUUUAGUGAAUCUGAAAAAACGUUUCGUCUUUCUAGAAACCCUCCUGCAUCUGUAAGAAUUCAAUUCCCGCACCCUCCCGAUCCCAUCUCAACCUCCAGCCCACCGCCAUCUCCUGCCCCGCUCCGCCCCGCCCCGCCCGGCCGCCACCGCGCCGCCGGCCGUUUCCCCGCGCCGCCGCCUCCUACCCCGCCGGUGCGCCUACCCCUGCAGCCAUGGCGCGUCGCCCUCCAGCUAGACCCCUCCUCGGGCAAGAUCUCCUCCUAGAGUUGACGGCGAGCACGACCCAGCCCCACCCGCGCACGUCGCCGCCCCGUCCAUCGUGGCACCCCCCUUCUCUCGAUCGACAGGAUCCGCCGCAUAUCGCGCGACGCGCCGCCGCUGUGCUUCACCUGUCGCCGGCCUCCUUCCGGCUCCCUUGGUCGCCGAUGAUGGUCACGCACCGAUGUGGAGUUGUUCCCCAACCGAAGGAAUGGAUGAAGACUAUGGUAUCCAGCCGGCGAGUCCCAGCCACAUUACCUUGCCGAAUGCUGUGGUGCUCAGCAAUAAUUUUGGAUUGAUGGAUUGUCGUUGGCUGUUGCAGGUAAGAUGUUUGACAAAUUGUUUCUUUCAGAUUUGGAUUGUCGUUGUACAACGGCUUGCUAUGGGCCUAAGUAACGUAGAUUUACUGAUCAAUUUUGUAGCUAAUCAUCAGUAUCGAGAAGUAUUCACUAGCACUUCCUGUGUCGAUUGCUAUGGCUAACUUCUGUAAGGUCAUUUUAGCCAAAAUUUGUUGUACAUGCAGACACAAGGUUCGUUAAUGGUAAUAGAUGAUUAGAGAGCAGCAACUAAAUACUAUACUAUAUGUGCCGAAAUUGAUAUAUUUAACUCCAUGUAAGUAUUAUUAUGCAGUGGUGUAUUGUUCGUUCUCUGAAUUAUAUGUACCAAACUGUAUGUUCAACACUACUUCAGCUUCACGUAUGUGGCUAUACUAUGCGCAAAUAUAAAAAUCUGCAGUUCUUUAUCCGCAUAAUAAUCAUGACCUUCAAGGGAUGCCCAUUGUAAUUUUGGUAUAUACUUGAGAUAUUUAUUUUGGUCUCUGCUUGGGAAUAAGGGUAAAAGGUCCAGAGAUGAAAGCCUCACUUCAAAUUCUGUGAUGGGUCUCUCUAACAUUGCAAUUAUGCAAUAAAUUCCUCUCGAGUUUACUAUAUAUUACCAGCUUCCUUCCAUUUAAUUUAUAUAUUUAAUCCCAUCAUUGUCUAUGUCACAUGCUUCAUCAAUGUCUAUGUCAUCAACUAUGCUAUGACAGGGUAGUAGUUGCAAGCGUGCGAAGAAGGAUAACGCAUGCUAGAUCCUGCAGGUAGUAAUAGUUGAUUAUACUUGAUCGAUUUGAUCCUUUCUACACGGCAACACCAAAUUCAGUGUAUUUUUAUUUACGUAAGUACUCAAAUUCAGUAAGAGUUGGUACUGAAUUUGACUAGGCGCCGCCUUGACGGCCAAGCGUGUGAUGUCCAUGUUAGCCGGCUCCUCCACCCAGGCCCUCUGUAGCGCCGGUGAGGACACUGCUUUGUCCGAACCGAUUGUCACGACCAUGCGCAGGUACACACACAUGUGCUCCCCUACCACAACUGCAGUGAUUUAAGGCGAAAUCCAAUUGGGGGGUAUUGAUAGGCACCAAUGUGUUCCUGGUUGAGUUCCCAUGCCUUGCAUUAAGUUGAUCAUUUUGGUAAGAUCAAACUGAACAAGCUGAACAUCACUUGCCCAAACAAGCUGAAUGUCAUGCUACAUUAUUCCCAAUUUUGUAAAAUUGAUCAUAAUACUCCUGCUAUCAUGUCGCGUUUGCUAAUACUUAUUGAGUUGUAAAACGAUGUUUUCAAAUUAUAAGCUAGCCCGUCUUAUUAUGUUUCAGAAGAUCGAUACAGUGGUGUCAUAUGUCUUGAUAUGACUUUUUGUUUUUGGUUAUUUUUUAGAACAUUUAGUACAUGUAUUUAUCAAUGCUAGAACUUCUGACAACUUUGAAGCAAGAAAGUUCAGAGAAAUUGUUCCAUGGAAUAGCUAAACGAUAAUACUACUAUUCAUUUAUGAUUAUUUGCAACAUACAGAGAUAGAUAUAUUGAAACCUGUAAUGGCUAACAGCCAAAAUUAUGAAUUUGUUCUUGAUACUCUCUUUCUCUUUUCUUAAUAUCAUCAUGUACAAAUUAGAAGGUUUCUAACAUCUGCAUAUUUCAGGUUUCAGAGAGGGUAGAGAAAGUGAUGUUCAGACAUUUAAGUGCAGCAACAGAGUUUUCAUCCUUCUUUGCUGGUUGUGUUCCUCUGCUGGGACCAUUGCUGUGGUCUGAACUUCAGAGUUUUCAUCCACUCAAUGCUGAUUCAGUCAAAGAUCUCUGGGAAGAAAAUUAUUUCGACAAGAUUCACUCUACCGUGCUUAUCGCGGUCCUCUAGAUUACAUGGAAGCGCGUGAACUCCAAACUCUUCUGCGACAUUUUUGAGGAAUUGCACAUUACUGCUAGCAAGAUUGUUGAUGAUCUUAUGUUGUGGUCUAACAGGUAUUCAAACGAAAUUAAUAAAGUGCUCCUUAGAAAUUAGAGCACUAUGUUGUAUCACCUAUCCGUGAGAUUGUAAUUUUGUCCCUCCUUCUCUUUUCUAUUAGUCCCACUGUCUCAUUUGCCUUUGUAUAGUUCUCAGUUUUAUGAAGUGGUUCAGGCCGGCAUAGUCCCUCUAAAGAAAAUAAGGCGGCGAGUGACGCCUCGCCUUCUCUGAAGUCUGGACUGAAAAUUAUGUGGUUCUCUACUACUCGAAGAAAGAUGAAGAAGAAAUGGCUGGCUUACCAAUCGCCUAAGCACCAAGAGCUUUGGCGCCCAACUAUUGAAGAAGGCUCGGGCUGAUGGAGCUGUCCCAAACAAGAAUGUCAUGGCGCAGGUGUUGCCAUUGUCCCUAUCAACCUUCACCGGUGGUUACACAUACACGCACCCACGAACUAUUAGGUCAGGGGAGAAAACAGAGCAGCGGUCUUCAGUUAGAACAGAGGAGCACACGCAGUCAGGUUUCAGGAACCAAUGCCUUCAUAAUUUUUCUUUUUCAACUGAUUGCUGGCUAAACAUGCACAACCCUCUUAUUGCAAGGUUAAGAUCAACUUGACACCAGCAAUAAUGGCUUGAAAUGAGUUUUAGUUGUCAAGCAAAUGUUUGUGCUAAUUCCCACAAGAAAUUUUUUUUGAAGAAAUUUUACUUUAUCAGGGCAAUACCUUUUAUAUGGCUUCAUGAAAUCGAAUAUGACGCUAAAUUUGCAGAAUGACUAAGCGGCAUAGAAAAUUGAUUUAGCACUACUUAAUUAAUUAAAUAUGACCAAUUUUUGAUUUUGUGUUGAUGUUUCAGAUGGACUUUUUUUCAUAUGACAUCAGGGAUGUAGGAUGAUUGGGUGAACAAGCUUUCCGUGGAACAUCCAGAUCCCGGCAGCGGUGCGUCCGCUCAGCAUACCAUGCGGCGACGUCCUCCGACAUAAUGACAAAUGCCGGCAGGGGCGAGAGCAGAGCGGGAGGGGUAUUGCUUAGAUACCGUUGUGGGCAAUUGCCAGUGCCAUGAUUGUGGUUAAUACCCAUGGCGGAUUCUAUUCCUAUGUGUGGAUUAAACAAAGUUGAGUAAACAUCACCGGUAGGAGAUGCAUGUGCAGAUUAAGUUUAGAGGAGAAAGUGGUUCUUUAUUCAGUUCAAACGCUGACCGGAUCAGGUGCACCUUUAGGCUCUAUGAUAAGUGCCGACAACAAAUUCUUCUUUUCAGCGGGAUUGUAUACUGGACCAAGGUUCUAUAGGCGGUGGGUUUGCUAGGACUAUUCCAUGAAGCAGUGUAAACGCAGUUGUCAACACACUGAUGAAUUCGAUAGAGGAAAGUGGUCUAAGUUUCACGAUUUGGAGCUCUGAUGUGGAAGAGUUUUUGAGCUAAUGCAAGGGCAAUCUAGAAUAAUGACCUUGGCAGAUUAUGUGCAUGGAAAAGGUAAUGGCUUGUAUGAGAUUAUAUUGAUCUGUUUGUUCAGUGAGGAAAGGAAGAACAAAUGAUCCACUGCAGUGUUAUCUAUAGCCAAGGAACAAGAGGUCAAAGAUAGAUCUUAGAUGUAUUGAUGGACAUGUGAGACAAAUUAUCUCUUGAAGCUAGCCACAAACAUUGAAGUGGCGCUGGCAAGAGUAUGCAUCAACCAUCAUGCAUGAAUUCAUACGAUGUACCAUCAAGUCUCUGAAGUGUGGUGCUUGUGCUACAAUAUUCUUUUAAAUAUGGGCGAUGAAUCUAUUUUCCCGUUGCAACCCACGGGCAUUGUUUGCUAGUAAAGAAAUUAUGCAUGAUAUUGCACCAGCUGAAAUAGAAGGUAUUGAUAUUAUUAUUAAGCUUUCCAAUAGGGACACCAUUAAACCA